rnacentral:rRNA from 1 species
CUUAAGGAAUUGACGGGGACCCGCACAAGCAGCGGAGCGUGUGGUUUAAUUCGAUGCUACACGAAGAACCUUACCAGGGUUUGACAUGCAAGUGGUAGGAAUCUGAAAAGGGACCGACCCUUCGGGGAGCUUGCACAGGUGCUGCAUGGCUGUCGUCAGCUCGUGUCGUGAGAUGUUCGGUUAAGUCCGCUAACGAGCGCAACCCUCACUGUGUGUUAUAUGUGUCACACGGGACUGCCGGUUUUAAGCCGGAGGAAGGUGGGAUGACGUCAAGUCAGCAUGGCCUUUAUAUCCUGGGCUACACACACGCUACAAUGGUCGGUACAAUAGGUUGCCAAGCCGCGAGGCGGAGCCAAUCCAAAAAAGCCGGCCUCAGUUCAGAUUGUAGGCUGCAACUCGCCUGCAUGAAGAUGGAGUUGCUAGUAACCGCAGGUCAGCAAUACUGCGGUGAAUACGUUCCCGGGUCUU